UUUACUUUGACCCUUUGACAAAAAUAUAAAAAAAACAAAAAAAUUUAACCAACCGUUUAAUCAGAAAAAUUACACUGGUUAUAUAGCAGUUUGACAAACAUUUAUUUUUAUCACUGAGAAGCUUAAUAUUCCCUUAAGAACACAACGGCAUUAAAACGUUCUGCUGAUUUUACAGAGAUAUCUCCCUGUAGUGUAAAUUACCAC
rnacentral:lncRNA from 1 species